CGUGUUUACUAAUUUCUAAUGGCUAACUUUGUUGUGUUUUGUUAGUUUGAGAAGUUAUAUUUAUUCUCCUUGUCUGUUUCUUUCUGUCAGGACGCAAGUGACAAGGACUUGUACAGUCAGAUGCGAGUGGGAAUCCUCUGCAUUGACGAAAAUCCUCAGCUCAACCCAUCCAGAGUAGGCAUCGUGUUGGAGGGGUGUCAUGGAGGAGCUGGCCAACCUACCACAGGCCUUCUGUGAUCUUUUUGGACUGAUUUAUGCCUUGCACUUAGAUUACCCUAAAUGCAUGAAAAACACCUUCCAGUUCAUUCAGCACCAAAAAUCCAAACACUGAAAAAUCAACUCUCUGUCUAAAACAGGGUUCUGAAAUAUACCACUGUUCCAAAUACCAGUGCUUGGUGCUGUUGCAUGUCUUAAAUGCCAUGUUUACUGUUUUGCACUGUUUGUUAUAUAUUUUUAAGUAUUUCCACUGUCUUUCUGAUGAUGAUCAGAUGAUGGUAUUUGUACUGAUCUAGCAGUUUGGUUCCAUCCGUCUUGCUAGGCAUGUUUUAUGGUUUUAUUGUGGUUUUAUUAUUAGCAGGACUUAGGGUCCUUGUAGUCCUCCAGCAAUCCUGUCAUAGUGGGAGCAUGGAAGACACUGGUUAUAUACCGCCAGGGUCAACCAAGAACAAAUAAUAUGGUUUAAAAAUGUUUCCUGUGCCCCAAGUUAAAAUAAAACAUGAAAAGAAUGUACUUUUGUGUUUUGCUUUUUAUUUUCUUAAUUUAGAAUUUCUGGUUUAAAACACUUUAAUGAAAUGUAAUUUUGUUUUUUACUCUUAAGAUACUAGGUGGAGUAAUUGGGUAAAUUAACAUUACAAGUGAUUUCAAGUGAAAUCAACUUGGAGGUUAGUGCAUUGGGCUUUCAAUUUUAAGUGGAAUAAAUGAGCAAUGAAAUUAAUAUUACAAAUGAUUUUAAGUUAAAUCAACUUGGAGAUAAGUGCAUUGAGCUUUACAUUUUAAGUGGAAUAAAUUAGCAAAUACAUUUAUAUUACAAAUGAUUUUAAGUUAAAUCAACUUGGAGGUUAGUGCAUUGAACUUAAAAUUUUCAUGAAACAUUACUUAAUUUUCUUAGGGCAACCGGUUUCCUCAAAUUUUUUAAGUAAACUCAACUUAUCCGGGUUUACAG
rnacentral:lncRNA from 1 species